GAUGAAGAACGUAGCGAAAUGCGAUAAGUAAUGUGAAUUGCAGAAUUCAGUGAAUCAUCGAAUCUUUGAACGCACCUUGCGCCCUUUGGCCAUUCCGAAGGGCAUGCCUGUUUGAGUAUCAUGAACACCUCAACUCUUCAUGGUUUUCCAUGAUGAGCUUGGACUUUGGGGGUCUUGCUGGCCUACGGUCGGCUCCUCUAAAAUAAAUCAGCUUGCCAGUGUUUGGUGGGUAUCGCAGGUGUGAUAACUAUCUACGCUUGUGGUUUUCCACCAAGUAACCUUCAGCAGUGGAGGUUCACUGGAGCUCACAGAUGUGUCUCUCCUCAGUGAGGGAUAGCUCUUUGAAUGUUUGAUCUCAAAUCAGGUAGGACUACCCGCUGAGUUUAAGCAUAUCAAUAAGCGGAGGA
rnacentral:misc_RNA from 1 species